UCCGUGUUAACCACGGCAGUCCCUCUAGAGUGCCCAACUUAAUGCUGGCAACUAAAGGCAAGGGUUGCGCUCGUUGCGGGACUUAACCCAACAUGUCACCACACGAGCUGACGACAGCCAUGCAGCACCUGUCUUCCGGCUGUAUUGCUACAGAAACCGUAUUUCUACGGCUGUCCGGAGAUGUCAAACCCAGGUAAGGUUAUUCGCGUUGCUUCGAAUUAAACCACAUGAUCCACCGCUUGUGCGGGCCCCCGUCAAUUCCUUUGAGUUUUAGUCUUGCGACCGUACUUCCCAGGCGGGGUACUUAUCGCGUUAGCUCCAGCUCUGCAGGGGUCAAUUCCCACAAAACUUAGUACCCAUCGUUUACAGCGUGGACUAC
rnacentral:misc_RNA from 1 species